rnacentral:rRNA from 1 species
GACGAACGCUGGCGGCGUGCCUAAUACAUGCAAGUCGAACGCAGUGGGGACGGGUGAGUAACACGUGGGUAACCUCCCAUCAGAGGGGAUAACACUUGGAAACAGGAGCUAAACCGAUACAGAUGGAGGGUCCAGUGGUGCAUGAGCUAGUUGGUGAGGAAACGGCUCACCAAGGCCACGCUGCAUAGCCGACCUGAGAGGGUGAUCGUCCAACCUGGGACUGACACACGGCCCAAACUCCUACGUGAGGCAGCAGUAGGGAAUCUUCGGCAAUGGACGAAAGUCUGACCGAGCAACGCCGCGUGAGUGAAUAAGGUUUUCGGAUCGUAAAGCUCUGUUGUUAGAGAAGCGGUAUCUAACCAGAAAGCCACGGCUAACUACGUGCCAGCCGCCGCGGUAAUUC